rnacentral:rRNA from 1 species
UACGAAGGGGGCUAGCGUUGCUCGGAAUCACUGGGCGUAAAGGGUGCGUAGGCGGGCCUUUAAGUCAGGGGUGAAAUCCUGGAGCUCAACUCCAGAACUGCCUUUGAUACUGAAGAUCUUGAGUCCGGGAGAGGUGAGUGGAACUGCGAGUGUAGAGGUGAAAUUCGUAGAUAUUCGCAAGAACACCAGUGGCGAAGGCGGCUCACUGGCCCGUUUCUGACGCUCAUGCACGACAGCGUGGGGAUCAAACAGG